rnacentral:lncRNA from 1 species
ACCUCCCUGCACUCAAAUUGGAUUUUCUGGAGCUACAGAACUCGAAAUGGCAUGCUUCCAAUUGCAUUGGAAAGUAGACAUCCAGGGCUUUCCAUAAAUAUAUAAUAGUCCAUACUUUGCACAAGGAUAGACGACGUAAACUGGCGUUUAACGCCAGUUCUCUGCCCAAUUCUGGCGUCCAGCGCCAGAAAAGGAUAAAAAACUGGAGUUGAACGCCCAAACUGGCACAAAAACUGGCGUUCAACUCCACAAAUGGCCUCUGCACGUGAAUUGCUUAAAGUCUCAGCCCCAGCACACACCAAGUGGGCCCCAGCACACCAAGUGGGCCCCAGAAGUGGAUCUCUGCAUCAUCCAUCAUAGUCCACUCAUAUUUUGUAACCCUAGGCUACUGGUUUAGUAUUUAAACAACUUUUAGAGACUUAUUUUGUAUCUCAUGACAUUUUCAGAUCAAAACUUUGUAUUCUCUGACGGCAUGAGUCUCUAAACCCCAUUGUUGGGGGUGAGGAGCUNNNNNNNNNNNNNNNNNNNNNNNNNGGGGACGUGCGUGCGUGAACAAGAAGACAGAGGAAAGCAGAGAUUCAGAAGACAAAGCAUCUCCAAAACUCCAACAUAUUCUCCAUUACUGCACGACAAGUAAUUUUUAAUUCAUGCUCUACUGGUUACUCACAAUUCAAUUGAUAAACAUAAUUGACUUCCUGACUAAGAUUUAUAAGAUAACCAUAGAUUGCUUCAAACUAACAAUCUCCGUGGGAUUCGACCCUUACUCACGUAAGGAAUCACUCUGAGCUUCAAUGGAUAAAGUGAGAUGCCGAAACUGUUCAGAAGCAAAAAGCUACUAGUCCCGCUAAUCUAAUUAGGAUCUGAGCUUCAAUCAAAAACUCUGAGAUAUUAUUGCUUCUCAACCUAUUAGUCUUCUAUUUUAUUUGUCUAGUUGCUUGAGGACAAGCAACAGUUUGAGUUUGGUGUUGUGAUGAGCGGAUAUUUUAUACGCUUUUUGGGGAUAAUUUCAUAUAGUUUUGAGUAUGUUCUAGUUAGUUUUUAGUUUAUUUCCAGUAGUUUUUAGGAAAAAUUCAUAUUUCUGGACUUUACUAUGAGUUGGGUGUUUUUUUGUAAUUUCAGGUAUUUUUCUGGCUGAAAUUGAAGGAGCUGAGCAAAAAUCUGAUUCAGGCUGAAAAAGGACUGCUGAUGCUGCUGGAUUCUGACCUCCCUGCACUCAAAUUGGAUUUUCUGGAGCUACAGAACUCGAAAUGGCAUGCUUCCAAUUGCAUUGAAAAGUAGACAUCCAGGGCUUUCCAGAAAUAUAUAAUAGUCCAUACUUUGCACAAGGAUAGACGACGUAAACUGGCGUUCAACGCCAGUCCUCUGCCCAAUUCUGGCGUCCAGCGCCAGAAAAGGAUAAAAAACUGGAGUUGAACGCCCAAACUGGCACAAAAACUGGCGUUCAACUCCACAAAUGGCCUCUGCACGUGAAUUGCUUAAAGUCUCAGCCCCA